rnacentral:rRNA from 1 species
GUCGAACGGCAGCACGGGGGCACCCUGGUGGCGAGUGGCGAACGGGUGAGUAAUACAUCGGAACGUGUCCUGUAGUGGGGGAUAGCCCGGCGAAAGCCGGAUUAAUACCGCAUACGCUCUGCGGAGGAAAGCGGGGGAUCCUUCGGGACCUCGCGCUACAGGGGCGGCCGAUGGCAGAUUAGCUAGUUGGUGGGGUAAAGGCCUACCAAGGCGACGAUCUGUAGCUGGUCUGAGAGGACGACCAGCCACACUGGGACUGAGACACGGCCCAGACUCCUACGGGAGGCAGCAGUGGGGAAUUUUGGACAAUGGGCGCAAGCCUGAUCCAGCAAUGCCGCGUGUGUGAAGAAGGCCUUCGGGUUGUAAAGCACUUUUGUCCGGAAAGAAAACCUCGUGGUUAAUACCCGUGGGGGAUGACGGUACCGGAAGAAUAAGCACCGGCUAACUACGUGCCAGCAGCCGCGGUAAUACGUAGGGUGCGAGCGUUAAUCGGAAUUACUGGGCGUAAAGCGUGCGCAGGCGGUUCGCUAAGACAGAUGUGAAAUCCCCGGGCUUAACCUGGGAACUGCAUUUGUGACUGGCGGGCUAGAGUAUGGCAGAGGGGGGUAGAAUUCCACGUGUAGCAGUGAAAUGCGUAGAGAUGUGGAGGAAUACCGAUGGCGAAGGCAGCCCCCUGGGCCAAUACUGACGCUCAUGCACGAA